UUUACCUUCCCAUGUGUCUUUGACUAAUGCAGUUUUUCCUGAACCCCAAAAUACAAAGGAAAGUUCCAGGCAAAUAGAUGGAAAUCAUUCUGAAGGAUAAAAUUGUAAAGCACAUAGAAGAACAGAACCAGCAUGGCUUCUGCAAAGGAAGGUGCACUUGUCCACUUAUCAGAAAGAAACCAAAGAGAAUGGAAUGCUUCAUCUUUAUGCAGCGUUGAGAUAUGUUUGUAUUGUCAGAAAUUAUAAAAUUUCUUCAUGCUGAACGCAAACUGUUUUAGUUUAAAGGGGGGAGGGAGAAAGGGGAGGAUCUGAAGACAGAAAGGUAAGAGGAGGAAGAGGUGGUACUCAAGGGAGCCCAAUAAUACUCUUUUGCCCCAGAGCUUGCAAAGACCUGGAGCUAGCUAUAGCUAAACCCUUGAUGUUUAAACAUAUUUUUUCUUAAGUUUUCUCUUUCAGAUACCACAGGGAGCUUCAGCAAUGUCCACUAUACAAGACCUUUACCAAUAUGCACAUUAUGUAUUUAUUUAUUUUAUUGAAUUCCUAUACUGCCUAAUAUAGAAAUCUCUAUGCAGUGUUACGUGUGUCUGUUUCAGAUUAUAUUUAAUUUUUUAUUAUUUAUUAAUUUAAUUUAAUUUUCAUUGCAAACUGCCCAGAGACGUGAGUUUUGGGUGGUAUCGAAAUUUGUUAAAUAAAUAAAUAAAUAAAUAAAUAAAUAAAUAAAUAAAUACACAAUAAAACGAACUAUUAAAAAACCCAAUGAGUUAAAACAAUUUAAAACAUCCAAAGAUUACUAAAAGCCAGGCUAUAGCUUGUUUCUUUGAGCAAAGUCCCUUUCAUAUGUUAAAGAGGUUUGCAUUUUGAAGCUGACUCUCUUGUGCAGCAUUAUUAAGUCCCCCCCACCUUUAUUAAAGCCAAUUUAGAUAAAAGAUAAAUGGCUCAAUGAACAAAAUGGCUAGUAAAAAAUUCUUUCCCCAUCCCUGUAGGUUUCUAGUCACCAGGCAGAACUGCCUUAUCUCAGCAAUAGCCAGUAGAGUAAAGCAAUGUACAAAAACAUAAAAUAAAAAAGAACAGUUGUUUGAUAUGCCAGUCUGGCCAAUGUCUCUGUCUUGCCUGACAGCUCUUGUUUUGUUUAGAGUAUGUACUUUUAGUUCAUGGGAAGUAGCCAGAAAAUAAAGCUGCUGGUGACUCCCCCUGCUGCCACUCAGGAGUGCACCCCUGACUACAGGGAUGUGUGUGUGUGUGUGUGUUUUUGUAAUGCUGCAUUUCAUAACUGUGAGGUCAGUCAGUUUUCUUAGUUGGGCACAGGCUGAACCUUGAAACACAACCAGAAGCCGUGAAACUGCUACAUAAGCAAAUUGUAAAGAAUGAGCAGGCUGGCAUUGCAUUGCAGCAGACAAUCUGAAGACAUUUUUUGAUAAAAAAUCAUGAAAAAUAAUGAAAAAGCACCCUUUCUUUUUCUCCAGCUACUGCUGAAAACUCUUGUGCUAGGCCUACAAUUCUCAUUUCCUGAAUGAAAAAUCAACAACAACCUUCUAAACCAAGGGAUUCUACAGAUUUACAGAGUGAAAUGUUUAAACCAAAUAUACUGUAUAUGUAAAUUUAAAAUCUCACUUGAAUUGUGUACUUAAGACAUACUAGUCAAAGAAGACAUAUUCUUUUACUCCAUCUCUCUACUCAGUUCAGGAGACUGCUGUAUCAUCCCUGGGUUGGUUCACAUGAACAUGGUCUCAAAUUAACACAGGAAGAGGGGUGGGGAUGCACUGAGAGUGCUCUUGCCUGGAUAUCACUAUAGUGUUGCCAUCUUGGGACUUUCGAACCGGAUUUUAGACUAUUUUAAAAUCCCCUUCAACUAUUUUCUUGUUGGAGGGAGUCUUAGGCAUGCCACCACAAUUUGUCUGCCUCCUUUCACCUGCAUUGAACUUUUUUUCUGGGCUGUUGACUGCUGUCUGGCAGCAGCAACAGAGAAAGAAAAUAGUUAAGAAAAUGGUUACAAAUUAGCACUGCCUUCUCCCAGCAGCAGCAGCAGCAGCAGCCACUGCCGCCGCCACUGCCACUGCCGCCACCUGAUUGGUUCUUCUCCUGGAACUCCAUCUUGUGCUCCUCCCCUGCUCAGCAUUUGAAUUCAGUUGCUGAGUGAGGAAGCAAUGAGGAGCUGGAGGUAGAAGCUGCCUGUAAAACCAACCAACCAACCAACCCUUAUAUCUUUAUUUUUUAUGUGUGAUUUCUUUUCACUUAGAAGCCAGUACCUUUUCACUUAGUACCCAGAAUGUUGGGGGCAAUAUGCUAAAAUCAUUGUAAACCGCUUAGAGAGCUUCGGCUAUAGAGCGGUAUAUAAAUGUAAGUGCUAUUGCUAUUGCUGUUGCUAAGCCACUGUGUGCUUUCCCCUUUCCCACAUUUAUGAACCCUGUGUGUGUGUGUGUGUGUGUGCGCGCGCAUAUGUGAGAGAUUUAUUUUAUUUUAUUUAUUGUUAAAUUAAUACCUCGCCUUUCAUUAAGAAAAUCUCACAAUAAAAUUUAAAAACAUGAUUAUAAAAAAGACACAUUAAAAUAUUGAGCUAAAAAGUAAAUCUGAUUAAAAAUAAUAAUAAUAAAUUAAAACAAAAGCAUAAAACAGUACAAAAUACAAGAAGCAGCAGUGGAGACAAUCAUAUAAAAGCCUGGGUAAAAAGCCAUGAUUUGACAUGCUUUCUAAAAAUUGUGAUGGAGACUGAGGAGUGGAUACCCACCCCCACUUGAAAGCCUCCAUUUCUGUGCACAUGUUUCUUCCCCAACCCCUUGUUUGUACCUGUGAGAGAUUUUUAACUUUAAAAAAAUAAUUUUCCAAGCCAUACCAAAAAAAAGUUGUCAACAAGCGUAAGUUAAAACUCUUAGAGAACAAACUUGUAAGAAAAACUCUCCCCACCCCAACAGUACACUUUCUUGAGGAGAUUAGUUACUACAUGUUUUAUUCCAUUCAGUAAUCUCUUGCAGUUUGGACAUUUGUCCAAACAUUUGUCCCAAGAGGGAUCCUGUAGAGAGUGUUGGGGAGGAGUAAGAAAGGAAAAGGGAGGGGAAGGAGGAGGAAACUGAGUUGUUGCUGAAUAAACCUUUAGUUAAUCUAAAUAAGAUUUCCUUGUAUGUAUGAGGGAAGCAUCUCUAAAACAUUUGGCGAUGAAAUUUUGAACCAGCUAUGUGUUUGAGCCUGUCAUGCUUGUGAAUGUUUCUGCAACCUCAUUUCAUUGCAUUAUUGGGCCUAAAUACCUGUACUGCUGAUUGUUUCUCUGGCUUCUUGACCCGCACAACCCCUGAAGGUUGUACAGGUCACCUACAAACAAGGUGAUCCAGUUCAUGGCUGCAGCUUUUGCGAGGGAGGUCUUCUUUAAGAACUAGUGACUGACAAUGGGACACAGUUUACCUCAUUUGAAAUGGAGCAAUAUUUAUAUAAUCAUGGGAUAAAACACAAGACUCGUUCCUUGUACCAUCCUUGAGGGAAUGGCUUAGUGGAAAGAAUAAACAGAUUAGUGAAAGAAAGUUUCCUACUGGCUACUAUGCAACAGCAACGCUGGAAAGAGGCAUUUCAUAAAACAAUAUUUGCUAAUCAAACUGCUCCUUAUUCUACUACAGGAAAAUCACCUUUUCUGAUUCUGACUGAGAGGAUGUAAGCUACCACCAAACUUACCCAAUAGCAACAACUGAUAGGGAUUUCCAUGCCAUCUCACCCUGAGGAUGCAGAGGUUUGUGAUUGGGCUGUGAAGUUCUACAAAAUGCUGUACAUCACCUGAAAUAAAGCUUCAGUUCAGCUGCAUCUAGAAUGCUGUAAUCUGUGCAGAUUCAUGACAUACUUUAGUCUCCUUAAUUCAACUAGAAUCACAAGUCUCUCACUGAACAUCUUUUGAAAAUACCCUAGAAGGGAUCCCCCCCACCUUCUUUUUAAAUAAAAGUGUUACU